GAGGGUGUAGCUCAAGUAGUAGAGUGUGUACUUAGCAUGUAGAAAGUCCUGGGUUUGAUCCUCAGUACCUCCA
rnacentral:tRNA from 1 species